GAUGAACGCUGGCGGCGUGCCUAACACAUGCAAGUCGAACGUGAGGGGGUAGCAAUAUCUCUGAAAGUGGCGCACGGGUGAGUAAGACGUAGGUAACCUGCCCUGGAGUGGGGGAUAACAGCUGGAAACGGCUGCUAACACCGCAUAAUACCGGUUGCUCGGGAGAGAGACUGGUAAAAACUCUGGUGCUUCAGGAGGGGCCUGCGGCCGAUUAGCUAGUUGGCGGGGUAAGAGCCCACCAAGGCAGUGAUCGGUAGCUGGUCUGAGAGGACGAUCAGCCACACGGGAACUGAGACACGGUCCCGACUCCUACGGGGGGCAGCAGUGAGGAAUAUGGGCAAUGGGCGCAAGCCUGACCCAGCAACGCCGCGUGGAGGAAGACGGCCUUCGGGUUGUAAACUCCUUUUACGGGGGAAGAGGAAGGACGGUACCCCGAGAAUAAGUCACGGCUAACUACGUGCCAGCAGCCGCAGUAACAC
rnacentral:rRNA from 1 species